CAAUUAUUUAGCCAGAGCUUGUACUCGCGCAUGCGCAUAACAUCGAAAACUGUCCAUGACAUAAACAAAAUGGAGGACAACUUUGCACUUCGCUAUGUUUUCACAUACCCGGGUAUAAUUAGUCGUGCGGAAUUAGUACCCUCGCCCCGGGCUUGCGCCCACAACGGCGCUCCGCGCCGUUGGCUCGGGGAUUACUUACUGUUUUUGUUUAUAUCAGUAUUUCUUUUAGCUGUUCUGAUUUUUUUCUAGAUUCAUCAGUUUCUCCUGUGGUAUCUACUCAUGGAAUUUAUUACUUUUGAAAACUGCAUUUACUGCCUGUGUUGGUAUCGUGGCUUUACAGAUUUACCUUGGAUUAACCACACCAAAAUCCAAUCGAGCAUAAAAAUACUCACUGAUGAACCUUAUUUAAACUGUCAUGUUGUUCCGUACUUGUUCAUUUAAAUAAAUAAACUCCUUAACUCAAUUCUUAGACCUUAUCAAACAACAUUGCAUAUUAUGCUUAUUUAAGCGUUUAGUGCUGUUGGACAUACCAUGUUGUCGAAUCUACCGUAAUAGCUCAAAUAAGCCCACCCCUAUUAAGCCUAUUAAGCUCUAAUAAGUCACACAAAACGCAUGUAUUUUGAUUAAAUUCACGAUCAGAAAUUGCGCUCACAAAUUGAGAUCAAAGAUGAACUAUCUUUAACUGAACAUGCGUAGAAAGUACAUGCCGACGUGUAUUGAAUAUUAAAAGGAAAACUGUUAAAUUAUUUCAAGAUAUAUAGUCGGCAAAGUUUUUUAUUUAGUGGUAGAAUUUCGAGAUUAGCCAGGAUAUGAAGUUUUAAAGUCACCCAUAUAUGACUAGUUGGACAUAUAGGGUCUGGUCACGAAGUAUUCUCUUUGUAUAUCGAUAACAUAAAAAAUAGUUGUUGUGUAAUAUGAUGCCAAAUUUUUGGCAAACGCAAAAUGAAAUAGUUGAGAUACUAAGAUAUUUUAAGGCUUUAAGUAGUUUAUUGUAAACAUAACCUUCACAUAAUCAUGUCCAUGGACAUGGUUAUGUUUAUAGACGGUUGCAUGCAUCUCACGUAACCAUGGUUAUGUGAACAAACACUUGUACAAAGAACGAUGUUCAGCAUACAGCUGUUUCAAUUAAGGUUGUCCACGAGCAAAGCGGAAAGUCGAAUACGAGCGCGAAAGGCUGCUGGGAAUCGCUAUGAAAAUUCAUUAAUUUGUUAGCGAUUUCCAGCAGCCUUUCGCGCUCGUAUUUGACUUUUCCGCUUUCAGUCGUGGACAACCUUAAUUGAAAUAGCUGUAUACUCGGGAGGCGGAUAGUACUUUUCUCAUGAUUCGAUUGGUUUCUCAGCCCCGGAUAUCCUUGCACUAUUCAUCUCCAGACAAAAACAAAAUGGCUUCCCGUUUCGUUCCGGUUACAGACGAGCAAAUGUUUGUAUUAAAUGCAGCUGCGGUUUCGUCAAACACGAAGAAAGCCACAAAGUUUUGUUUAACAGUCUGCAGAGAUAUUAUUUAAAGCUAUUGCUAGUUAAUGCUGUUUUGUUUACAACUAUUUCGGGAGCUGAAAUACAAAUUCUUUUAAAAAUAUUUUCGUUGAUUUUUGGUCAUUUUUGUUUUGUUAUGGUACAUACUAAAACAAUCAUUCACCUCAGUGUCGGUGAAAAGUGCAAGGAUAUUCUUCGGUGAAUAAUUGUAAAUUAUAUCACUCGUCGGGCACGGUUGUAAACAUAGCCAGUUGGCAUGUUUGUGUGGACUAUGCAGGUUUUUUUAAAAGUGUUUGUGUACUAAAAAGGUGUUAGUGUACUAACAAGCGGUUGUAAUCGUGACCAUGCAUGGUUAUGUGCACAAACGGUUGAAUGGCAGAAUGAUAAAUUGUUGGAAGAACGUGUAACAAUUAGUUUUUCGAGUCAACAACCUUAUAGCAACUUGUCAACAAGCCAUUAACAAUUAAACUGUAACAGAUGUUCGAACUCCCCCGGUUUCAACUCCCGAUAUCUGGGCUUGGGACCAGGUUAGCUUAAACCCUACAAUCAAGUGCCAAAAUAAUGAGACUUAUAUUUUUGGGCAAGACUUAUAAAUUGGGCAAGGCUUUACGUCAUAUUUACAACAUUGUUCUGGGGGGAGGGGAGAAAUUGCGUUGUUGUCUCAAUAAUUUUUGCACAUGAUCGAUCAUGUUAAAAAAUUAUUGAGACAAAAACGUAAUUCUAAUUUGGUUUUCAACAAGAAAUUCUGAAACUUCGUGAUGACUGAGACUUGGACAUUUGUGCGUUUUUUCUCUUGACUUUGAUUCCUAUUGUUGUUUUCCUCGCGGGAACUUGAUAAGCGCUUUCAACUUGCAGAUAUAUACACUAUUUCAAUUAAGGUUGUCCACCAGAGGUUGUCCACGAGCAAAGCGGAAAAGUCGAAUACGAGCGCGAAAGCUAGGCUGCUGGGAAUCGCUAAC